rnacentral:rRNA from 1 species
AUUGAACGCUGGCGGCAUGCCUUACACAUGCAAGUCGAACGGUAACAGGUCUUUGGAUGCUGACGAGUGGCGAACGGGUGAGUAAUACAUCGGAACGUGCCCGAUCGUGGGGGAUAACGAAGCGAAAGCUUUGCUAAUACCGCAUACGAUCUACGGAUGAAAGCAGGGGACCGCAAGGCCUUGCGCGAACGGAGCGGCCGAUGGCAGAUUAGGUAGUUGGUGGGAUAAAAGCUUACCAAGCCGACGAUCUGUAGCUGGUCUGAGAGGACGACCAGCCACACGGGGACUGAGACACGGCCCAGACUCCUACGGGAGGCAGCAGUGGGGAAUUUUGGACAAUGGGCGAAAGCCUGAUCCAGCCAUGCCGCGUGCAGGAUGAAGGCCUUCGGGUUGUAAACUGCUUUUGUACGGAACGAAAAGACUCUGGUUAAUACCUGGGGUCCAUGACGGUACCGUAAGAAUAAGCACCGGCUAACUACGUGCCAGCCGCCGCGGUAAUAC